CAGCCGCCGCGGUAAUACGUAGGGUGCGAGCGUUAAUCGGAAUUACUGGGCGUAAAGCGUGCGCAGGCGGCUUUGCAAGACAGAUGUGAAAUCCCCGGGCUCAACCUGGGAACUGCAUUUGUGACUGCAAGGCUAGAGUACGGUAGAGGGGGAUGGAAUUCCGCGUGUAGCAGUGAAAUGCGUAGAUAUGCGGAGGAACACCAAUGGCGAAGGCAAUCCCCUGGACCUAUACUGACGCUCAUGCACGAAAGCGUGAGGAGCAAACAGGAUUAGAUACCCGGGUAGUCCCUGUCUCUUAUAC
rnacentral:rRNA from 1 species